GGAUGCAAUUAUACCAACACUAAAGCACCAGAUUCCAUCAGAACUCCGAAGUUAAGCGUGCUUUGGCGAGAGUAGUAGUAGGAUGGGUUACCUCCUAGGAAGUCCUCGUGUUUCAUUCC
rnacentral:rRNA from 2 species